rnacentral:ncRNA from 1 species
GUGGUGGUGCAUGGUCGUUCUUAGUUGGUGGAGUGAUUUGUCUGGUUAAUUCCGAUAACGAACGAGACCUUAACCUGCUAAAUAGUCAGGCCGGCUUUUGCUGGUCGCAGACUUCUUAGAGGGACUGUCAGCGUCUAGCUGACGGAAGUUUGAGGCAAUAACAGGUCUGUGAUGCC